rnacentral:rRNA from 1 species
CGAGCGAGGGCUUCGGCCCUAGCGGCAAACGGCGGAGUAAUACAUAAGCAACGUGCCUCGAAGACCGGGAUAGCGGACCGAAAGGUCCAGUAAUACCGGAUGUGGCUCUCGGGAGGGCGCUCCCGGGAAUUAAAUCGAGCAAUCGGCUUCGAGAGCGGCUUGUGACCUAUCAGCUAGUUGGUGAGGUAACGGCCCACCAAGGCGACGACGGGUAGGGGGUCUGAGAGGAUGAUCCCCCCGAGUGGGACUGAGACACGGCCCACACACCUACGGGUGGCAGCAGUUGGGAAUCUUGCACAAUGGGGGAAUCCCUGAUGCAGCGACGCCGCGUGGAGGACGAAGGAUCUAGGUCUGUAAACUCCUUUUGCACGGAAAGACUUAGGACGGUACCGUGCGAAUAAGCCCCGGCUAACUACGUGCCAGCAGCCGCGGUAAGACGUAGGGGGCGAACGUUGUCCGGAUUUACUGGGCGUAAAGAGCGCGUAGGCGGUCUGUUAAGUGAGAAGUGAAAUCUCCAGGGCUCAACCCGGAAACUGCUUUUCAUACUGGCAGACUAGAGGAUUGCAGAGGUGACUGGAAUUCCUGGUGGAGCGGUGAAAUGCAUAGAUAUCAGGAGGAACUCCAAUGGCGAAGGCAGGUCACUGGGCAAUAUCUGACGCUGAGGCGCGAAAGCGUGGGUAG